GAAGCGGGGAAGAGCUCAAGCUUAAAAUCUCCGUGCAAGUUUUGUGCGGCGAAUUGUAGUCUAUAGAGGCGUGGUCAGCGUGGGCGCUUGGGGCAAGUUCCUUGGAAGAGGACAGCAUGGAGGGUGAUACUCCCGUUCAUCCCUGAGUGGCUCGUGCGUACGACCCGUUUUCUUUGAGUCGCGUUGUUUGGGAAUGCAGCGCAAAGUAGGUGGUAAAUUCCAUCUAAAGCUAAAUAUUGGUGCGAGACCGAUAGCGAACAAGUACCGUGAGGGAAAGAUGAAAAGAACUUUGAAAAGAGAGUUAAAGAGUACCUGAAACUGCUGAAAGGGAACCGAAUCGUUUCCAGUGUCUAUAAUCUGUGGCAUAUUUCAUUGGCGAGCGUUUGCGUGCGUGUGCUGUGGCAGUGGCUUUUUUGGCUGCGCCUGGUGUGUGUGGUGUGAGUGUUUGCUGGUGCCCUGUGCUGCGGUGGGACGUCAAGGUCAGUUCGUAUGCUGCGGGAAAUGGCUGCCGAGGAGGUAGGGCUUACGCUCCGCGUUUGUCUGUUAUAUCUUGGUGGACGAGUCGUCGCGGUUGGGACUGAGGUGCCUACAACGUGCUUUUGAGUGGGUUUGUGUCUCCGUGUGCGCCGUGUGCGGAUAGCUUGCUAUGCGUGUGUGGUUGUGUGUGGAUUGAUGCGGGCCCUUAACUUGUC
rnacentral:rRNA from 1 species